UAGCGAAAUUCCUUGUCGGGUAAGUUCCGACCCGCACGAAAGGCGUAAUGAUUUGAGCACUGUCUCGACAAUGCAUCCGGUGAAAUUGAAGUACCAGUGAAGAUGCUGGUUACCCGCGCCAGGACGGAAAGACCCCAUGGAGCUUUACUCCAGUUUGAUACUGGGAUUCGGUACUGCAUGUACAGGAUAGGUGGGAGACGAAGAAGGAUGGACGCCAGUCUGUCCGGAGUCGCUGUUGGGAUACCACCCCUGUAGUACUGGGUUUCUAACCAGUUGCCAUGAACUGGCAAUGGGACAAUGUCAGGCGGGGAGUUUGACUGGGGCGGUCGCCUCCGAAAGGGUAUCGGAGGCGCUCAAAGGUUCCCUCAGAAUGGUUGGAAACCAUUUGAAGAGUGCAAAGGCAGAAGGGAGCUUGACUGCGACACCGACGGGUGGAGCAGGUACGAAAGUAGGACUUAGUGAUCCGGUGGUAUAAAGUGGGAUUGCCAUCGCUCAACGGAUAAAAGCUACCCUGGGGAUAACAGGCUUAUCACUCCCAAGAGUUCACAUCGACGGAGUGGUUUGGCACCUCGAUGUCGGCUCAUCGCAUCCUGGGGCUGUAGUAGGUCCCAAGGGUUGGGCUGUUCGCCCAUUAAAGCGGUACGCGAGCUGGGUUCAGAACGUCGUGAGACAGUUCGGUCCCUAUCCUCCGUGGGCGCAGGAGAAUCGAUGGAGGCUGCCCCCAGUACGAGAGGACCGGGGUGGACGCACCUCCGGUGAACCGGUUGUCGACCAACGGCACGGCCGGGUAGCCGCGUGCGGCGCGGAUAACCGCUGAAGGCAUCUAAGCGGGAAGCCGUUCCAGGGAUUAGUUCUCCUUCCGGUAAGGGCCCAGGUAGACUACCUGGUCGAUAGACGGCAGGUGCAAGGACGGCGACGUCCUCAGCCGAGCCGCACUAAUCGCCCGAGCUCUUCCGGAA
rnacentral:rRNA from 1 species